UACAGAGGGUGCAAGCGUUGUCCGGAAUUAUUGGGCGUAAAGAGCUCGUAGGUGGCGGGUCACGUCGGGUGUGAAAGCCCGGGGCUUAACUCCGGGUCUGCAUUCGAUACGGGUCUGCUGGGGUCCGGCAGGGGAGACUGGAAUUCCUGGUGUAGCGGUGAAAUGCGCAGAUAUCAGGAGGAACACCGGUGGCGAAGGCGGGUCUCUGGGCCGGUACCGACGCUGAGGAGCGAAAGCGUGGGGAGCGAACAGG
rnacentral:rRNA from 1 species